GAUGAACGCUGGCGGCGUGCCUAAUACAUGCAAGUCGAGCGAACAGACGAGGAGCUUGCUCCUCUGACGUUAGCGGCGGACGGGUGAGUGACACGUGGAUAACCUACCUAUAAGACUGGGAUAACUUCGGGAAACCGGAGCUAAUACCGGAUAAUAUAUUGAACCGCAUGGUUCAAUAGUGAAAGACGGUUUUGCUGUCACUUAUAGAUGGAUCCGCGCCGCAUUAGCUAGUUGGUAAGGUAACGGCUUACCAAGGCGACGAUGCGUAGCCGACCUGAGAGGGUGAUCGGCCACACUGGAACUGAGACACGGUCCAGACUCCUACGGGAGGCAGCAGUAGGGAAUCUUCCGCAAUGGGCGAAAGCCUGACGGAGCAACGCCGCGUGAGUGAUGAAGGUCUUCGGAUCGUAAAACUCUGUUAGUAGGGAAGAACAAAUGUGUAAGUAACUAUGCACGUCUUGACGGUACCGAAUCAGAAAGCCACGGCUAACUACGUG
rnacentral:rRNA from 1 species